rnacentral:rRNA from 1 species
GAUGAACGCUAGCGGCAGGCUUAAUACAAGCAAGUCGAGGGGCAGCAUGAUUGUAGCAAUACAAUUGUUGACGACCGGCAAACGGGUGCGGAACACGUAAACAACCUUCCUACAAGUGGGGAAUAGCGCAGAGAAAUUGGGAUUAAUACCCCGUAACAUAGCGAUGUGGCAUCACAUUGCUCUUAUAGUUUGGUCGCUUUUUUGUGGGUGUGCGGCUGGUUAGAUAGUUGGCGGGGUAACGGCCCACCAAGUCUACGAUCAGUAGCUGAUGUGAGAGCAUGAUCAGCCACACGGGCACUGAGACACGGGCCCGACUCCUACGGGAGGCAGCAGUAAGGAAUAUUGGACAAUGGACGCAAGUCUGAUCCAGCCAUGCCGCGUGAAGGAUUAAGGUCCUCUGGAUUGUAAACUUCUUUUAUAAGGGACGAAAAAAGGUCUUUCUAGAUCGUCUGACGGUACCUUAUGAAUAAGCACCGGCUAACUCCGUGCCAGCCGCCGCGGUAAGAC